rnacentral:rRNA from 1 species
UACGGAGGAUGCGAGCGUUAUCCGGAUUUAUUGGGUUUAAAGGGUGCGUAGGCGGGCUUUUAAGUCAGCAGUAAAAAUUCGGGGCUCAACCCCGUCCGGCCGUUGAAACUGGGGGCCUUGAGUGGGCGAGAAGAAGGCGGAAUGCGUGGUGUAGCGGUGAAAUGCAUAGAUAUCACGCAGAACCCCGAUUGCGAAGGCAGCCUUCCGGCGCCCUACUGACGCUGAGGCACGAAAGUGCGGGGAUCGAACAGG